UACGUAGGGCGCAAGCGUUGUCCGGAAUUAUUGGGCGUAAAGAGCUCGUAGGCGGUUUGUCGCGUCUGCUGUGAAAACCUAAGGCUCAACCUUGGGCUUGCAGUGGGUACGGGCAGACUAGAGUGCGGUAGGGGUGACUGGAAUUCCUGGUGUAGCGGUGAAAUGCGCAGAUAUCAGGAGGAACACCGAUGGCGAAGGCAGGUCGCUGGGCCGCAACUGACGCUGAGGAGCGAAAGCAUGGGGAGCGAACAGG
rnacentral:rRNA from 1 species